rnacentral:rRNA from 1 species
CGAACGGGUGAGUAAUGUAUCGGAACGUGCCCAGUAGUGGGGGGUAACUACUCGAAAGAGUAGCUAAUACCGCAUGAGAACUGAGGUUGAAAGCGGGGGACCUUCGGGCCUCGCGCUACUGGAGCGGCUGAUAUCAGAUUAGGUAGUUGGUGGGGUAAAGGCUUACCAAGCCUGCGAUCUGUAGCUGGUCUGAGAGGACGACCAGCCACACUGGGACUGAGACACGGCCCAG